ensembl:miRNA Gm24197 predicted gene, 24197
CUUGGGAGUGUGGGGGAUGGGUGGCUCCUCGGGAGUGUGGGGAUGGGGCAGCCCUCAGUGGGCACAGCAAGCUGAGCCCAUCCCUGCCCUAGGAAUUCAACCCAGAAGA